ensembl:lncRNA
GUGAAGUUUUUAUCAAUUUCUGUCACUUUGGGCUUUUGUGCUCACUACAUAUGUGGUCUCCGUAGCACCUCUUAGAGGCUGCCUGGAUGCUAACUGCACCCCCACCCAAUAGUGUAAGGAAGAGGAGCUGGUGGGGGGCCUUGACAUGCACCCUCACCCUUCUGUGGGGCCCCUUCCCACGAGCUUCUCAGGCCCGUGAGCCAGAGGGCUUGAACCUGAGACGCCUGUGGGUGUUGCAGCCACUCCACAGCCUUGAGUCUGUCCCUGUGAAUUAAAGACACCCCUAGGCCCCAUCCAGGGUACGCCAGCUGCCUGGAUGGAAGCCUAGGGUUUGGGAGUGUAGGGGUGGUUUCUCGGCCAUUCCUCCCAAUGGAUCAAGAGUCAGGGACAACAGGAGGGCCGGAGCUGGUGUGGACACCUCUGUGGCAGGCUGGCAAGAAGGGGCUUUUAAAUGGGGAGCCAUGGGGGACAGGCCAGGAGCCCAGGGCAACCUUGGAGUUCAUGGGGGAAGAGGAGUUUGAGCGGGCCAGGCCCCAGGGGCGUUGGGAGGGCAGGUGGACGCUUUCUGGAUGCAGUGUGGGGGGAUGGUUAGUGCACACCCUGGAGCCAGACUGCUGGGCCCUCUAUCUGAGCUCCCGUGAGGACCAACUGGACAACCUUGGGCUCACAGCUCAGCCUCUCCAUGCCUCAGUUUCCCUACCUAUUAAAUCAGAGCAGGAUCAUCCAGACCACCUAAUCAAGGGCCCUUGUGAGCAUAAUUGAAUGAGUAUUUGUUUGACCUGCAAACGCCUACUGCUGAUGAGAACCACAGCUGGGAUUGGGCCCAGGUGACCCCAAAGCCUGGGCUCUAGGUAGCUGCCCCAUGGGCCUCUGGUGCCUGUGUGGAGGGAGCAGCCUGGGGUCGAGGUGGGCACAGGCGGGCAGGCCAGACCAGAGCCAGCCCCUGUGAACAAGGAGGUGAUAGCUCGGAAGGAGCACAUUCGAGGAGGGCACAGUGUGUGGGCAAAGCUUGGAAUCCUUCCUGGGGAGGUGUCCCCUCUCCCAUAGGACAUCUCGGCUGCUCUGGCUCCAGUGUCCGGCUCUCGGAGCUUCAGUGGCUGUGGGGUGAAGCAGAUGGCCAGCUAGGGCAUGGCAGGGGAGCCUUCAGGCCUGUGCUGAGGGAGACCAGGUGGCCCACACAGGCUGGAACUUGAGAGCUUGGCACCUGCUUCUCAGAGCUCUCAACUCGAAGUCAGUGAUUCACUCGUGGUCAAGUUUUGUUGGCAUUUGGCUGGAAAUUCCUAAUCCUCCCCUUCCCUGGCCGUGGGGCCUCUAAGACCACAGGCUCCUUUACACUUGGCUGACAGCGUUUCACCCACUGUCCAGGGAGUGAUUCUUAAAAUGAUAGCAGGACAUUCACAAGGCUGAGGCAGGAGGAUGGCCUGGAUUACAUAAGUUGGUUCAAGCCCAGGCUGAACUACACAGUGAGAUCCUCUCUGGGAAGGAAAAAAAAACCCCAAAAUAAAUAAAUAAGUGAGUGGCGGGCUAGGUGUUGGGCAGGUAGUUUGAGUGUAGUGAAAUUAGAGACUCCCUCUGACCUUGGGUAUCAAGUGCUGAUCAAAGGGAACCCCCUUUGCAUUCACUGUGUCUCCCAUUUUAGUUUGGAAUAGAUGUGGCCACAGUGGGUCUAGUAUAACGUGGAAAGUGUGUGAUAGCUUUGGAAGGCAAUGUGGAGCUUGACCCAGAGAAGGACUUGGCUGGUAGUGAAAGCAAUGGCAUAUGCAAAGGCCCUGGGGCAUGAAAGUGCAGGGGAUUUAGCAGUGGGGAGUCAGCACUAGUAAUGGAGCAGGGACAGGUGUGUUUGAUUUGGGUUGCAAAGUCCUUUGCCUCUUGUGGUCUUGGUUCUGCUGCUCAGCUGGCUAACAUAGGCCCCAGCUCUGCCAGGGCCCAGCACCUGUGUGGACUCUGGACUGGAGAGAAGGAGUCAUGUGUAGCAACCCAGGCAAGGGGCAGCAGGGACCCAGGGGAGUCACAAGCCAUUCAGGAAGCAGGCCAAUGACAUCGCACCAAGGCCUGGAGCAAGCAGAGCAGAGGUGCUGGGACGGCUUCAGGAACAACGUGUCCCUGGCAGGCUCUGAGGACAGACAGCCCAGGAGGUUGGCAUGGUCACAGGAGCCAUGGAGCCUUAAGAAGCCCACUGUGUAUCUGCCACUGAGGCCCACAAAAGGAAAGUUGGUGCUGAGGCUGGGCACAACUGGGGACCCUGGGUUGUGGACCCCUCUCUCCAGCCACUGCCCACCACACAGCUCCUGGGCAACCAGCAGCGUGGGGCAGCCUGAUCCUCAAGGCCGGACCGGACCGUAGCGGGAGUCUAGGGAGAGGGCUCCUUCCCAUCGCUUGCAACUUUGCAGAUUUAACAUCUCCUGGUGACGUCCCGAGCGGUGGUGGGAAACAGCCGCUCUCUCCAGAAUGUUUCCCUGUGACAGCAGCUUCCUCUGGCGAGGUUGCAAUCCACACUUGGCAGGGCCUCUCCUCCUCUGGCUCCAGCAAGUGAGAGCCCCUGAAAGGCAUUCAAGAAUGCAGAGCCCGAGGUGCGCUGUGCCGGGCAGGGAGAAGGUAGCAGUGCCUGGCCUCUUUGUUCUCACUCUGGCCAUGGCUCUCAGAGCCUCAGAUGGCCUCUGAGUGUGGACAGUCCCCGAGCGUCAAGGCGGGGGUAUCAGGUGUCGGCCGGCUCCCACAGCCCUGGUGCCUCGGUCCUUGGCACGGUCGGCAGCAGGAGGG